CUACGGGUGGCAGCAGUGAGGAAUAUUGCACAAUGGGGGGAACCCUGAUGCAGCAACGCCGCGUGGAGGAUGACGCAUUUCGGUGUGUAAACUCCUUUUAUAUGUCAAGAAAAUGACGGUAGCAUAUGAAUAAGCACCGGCUAACUCCGUGCCAGCAGCCGCGGUAAUACGGAGGGUGCAAGCGUUACUCGGAAUCACUGGGCGUAAAGGACGCGUAGGCGGGUUGGAAAGUCAGGUGUGAAAUCCUACAGCUUAACUGUAGAACCGCACUUGAAACUUCUAAUCUAGAGUAUGGGAGGGGGAGAUGGAAUUAGUGGUGUAGGGGUAAAAUCCGUAGAUAUCACUAGGAAUACCUAAAGCGAAGGCGAUCUCCUGGAACAUUACUGACGCUAAGGCGUGAAAGCGUGGGGAGCAAACAGGAUUAGAUACCCUAGUAGUC
rnacentral:rRNA from 1 species